CGAAUACAGACUAACACGGCUGCUACUCUGAAACCUAAGGGCCUAUUGUAAUUAUGCAAAGUGUGGGCCAUUAAUGGUGGUUUGGAAUCUUGACGGUUCCCAUCAGCUAGGACAACUGACUGUAGAUGGCUCUAUUUAUUUGUAAGUCU